rnacentral:rRNA from 1 species
CCCUUAGAUGUCCUGGGCUGCACGCGCGCUACACUGAUGUGUCCAGUAAGCACCUAACCUCUUCCGAAAGGAACGGGUAACCUUUGCAAAGCACAUCGUGAUGGGGAUAGAUUAUUGCAAUUAUUAGUCUUGAACGAGGAAUUCCUAGUAAGCACAAGUCAUCAGCUUGUGUUGAUUACGUCCCUGCCCUUUGUACACACCGCCCGUCGCUCCUACCGAUUGAAUGUUCCGGUGAGCUCUUCGGACUGCCCGGUCUGCAGUUUCUGCGUUCCGUGCGGAAAGUUGCGCAAACCUUAACAUUUAGAGGAAGGAGGAGUCGUAACA